CACGUAGGGCGCGAGCGUUGUCCGGAAUUAUUGGGCGUAAAGAGCUCGUAGGCGGCCUGUUGCGUCCGCUGUGAAAGCCCGGGGCUUAACCCCGGGUCUGCAGUGGAUACGGGCAGGCUAGAGGUAGGUAGGGGAGAAUGGAAUUCCCGGUGUAGCGGUGAAAUGCGCAGAUAUCGGGAGGAACACCUGUGGCGAAAGCGGCGCACUGGACCAUAACUGACGCUGCGGCGCGAAAGCUAGGGGAGCAAACAGG
rnacentral:rRNA from 1 species